GAUGAAGAACGUAGCGAAAUGCGAUAAGUAGUGUGAAUUGCAGAAUUCAGUGAAUCAUCGAAUCUUUGAACGCACAUUGCGCCCUUUGGUAUUCCUUAGGGCAUGCCUGUUCGAGCGUCAUUUAAACCUUCAAGCUCAGCUUGGUGUUGGGUGACUGUCCGCUUCACCGCGGACUCGCCUCAAAAUUAUUGGCGGCCGGUACAUUGGCUUCGAGCGCAGCAGAAACGCGAACUCGGGCCCGUCGUAUUGGCUCCCAGAAGCUAUCUUCACAAUUUUGACCUCGGAUCAGGUAGGGACACCCGCUGAACUUAAGCAUAUCAAUAAGCGGAGGA
rnacentral:misc_RNA from 1 species